rnacentral:lncRNA from 1 species
GAGAAGAGCAGUUAGUCAGUGCAAAUAAAUAAGCUCAGCAUCGCUAAAGACAAAAAAUCAGAGGAACCAGAAGAACUUUUCACAGGCAAAAAUACCAGAGAUUCUGUAGCUGCAUAUCUUGAGGUACAGGAGAUUCAAGGCAGCCACUGACACCAAACUUCCCAGUAACCUUACGGACUCCCUGCGACCAAAUUCCAUGGUGCACCUAUGAGAGCGCCUGCAGGCACAAAGCCGAGUCCCUGACAGGAAAACAAUUUACAAUUUCCACGGGAUGACAUGCUCUAGAAGGAAGUGCAGAUUAAGAAGAAAAAGCAUUCUAGUCAGUUUGGCAAGGUAAGACUCAAAUAUUUUCUUUUUGGGUCUUGACAAUGGCAGGAGACUAACCAACUCUGAAGAAGAAAAAAAGCAAACCUUUUCAUCCUUGCUUGGGACAGACCUUGUGCUGAGCAUGAACGUGCAGCCUCAGACCUUGCU